CCACCAAGAAUUGUGCCAUAUCUGUAUUGCAAUCAGCUAUGAUAGUAUUCUUGGUGACA
rnacentral:pre_miRNA from 1 species